GAUUACACAACGUUCACAUUAGACAAGUAGAAACUCUUCCUGAUGAAAUGCAUUCUGGGAUACCUGGCAGUACAAAGUACACACUAGAUACCUCCUGAUCCGUCCUGGUUAAAGCAGCCGGGACAAGAACACAUCCAGGUCAGACUGGUUUCAAAGUCACUCUGAUGAGUUUUUACAACUAAUGAGGGACAACGAGCAGCUUCUUCUCAACACAUGAAUCUGGAAAGUGUCUGGAAGUCGACCUGAGGAAGACCAAAGACUCUCCUGUAUCCAGCUGUGUCCAUGGAGACUGAGCGGUCUAAGGCUCCACCUGUUGACUCCAAACAUGGACAGCAGUCUGCUGAUCCAGGGCUUCUAGUUGUUGGCUCUUGGUUUGGACCCAGGUGUCAUCCACAUAUCUGAAGCAGGUGUUGUUCUCUUGAAGGAGCUCAAUGCUCUGCUUUCCACUUCCUCCAUGUAGAGACUGACCACAGUGGGUGGCACUGGAGAACACAUGACACAGCCAUGUUUGAUGUGGAGAAAGCCUCAUUGUAUCUGAAGGAUGUGGUAGUUAGACGGAGGUCAAGCAGGACACAUAUCUGAUGAGAGGUGGACUUGGUUCCAUUCUUAAAAGUCAUGUCUUCUUUCUGGAA